rnacentral:tRNA from 6 species
GGGCAGGUGGUGGAACGGCAGACACGUACGGUUCAGGGCCGUAUGCCGCAAGGCGUGGGGGUUCAAAUCCCCCCCUGCCCACAA